GUUUUUUGCUUUUAUUUAUUUAUUUAUUGCUGUAGGGAAUGGAGCGGGGGUGAGGAGUCGCGGCCCUAUGGCUCUUACGGGGACCUGGGGCUGGUGAGCGGCAGCGGCGGCGGCGUCGGCGGCGUGGCGCUGACCAAGAAGGGCGGCCGCGGCGGGAAGGAGGGGAGGAGGAGGUCCAUGGAGCGGGGGUCCCGGGGGAAGGGGAGGUGGAGGGCGAGGAUGUUCGGGAUGAGCGGGCGGCUGGCGGCGGGCGAGGGCGGGGGGGCGAGGGCGAGGGCGAGGGGCGUGGGGAGCGGCCUCGUCGUCAGCGGCGUCGGGGGGAGGCGCGGCGCGGAGGCCCCGACCCUGGGGGCGAUGCGCCCGCAGGCGGCGCCGCUACGCGGGCGUCGACGACGGCGCGGCGGCCGACGGGGCGGCCGCCACGGGCUCUCCUUCAGCGGGGGCCGCAGCCGCGAGUGGGAAGCCACCAGGCCCUACGAGAGGCGCCGCCGGUAAGAGGAGACGAAGCGGAGGGAGGAGGUGUCCUUGAAGAGCGACGUGCUGGUCCAGGUGGUAAACGCCCCUGUCGAACCACGCCGGUGGCGCUUCAACGUCAGUACAUAGCAGCAGUACCUGAGCAGCGACCUGUACUCGUCGCACAAAAGCAUGCUCUCGUUGCUGCUCAAACACGGGUCGUCUUCGGACUUCUUAAAGAGGGACGACGAGAGCGACAGGCGCGACAUACGCGGCUAUCAAUAAGAGUUCAUGUAGCUGUAAGACAGGUUCGACUCCUCUAGUGCUGUGAGACUUCUACAGCGGAAGUUGUUCGCCAACCGCAUGUCUCAUCUAUAUAAAAACAGUGAAGUAGGUAUGCGAUUUGGGAACCAAGAAGAACAGCCAUGUUACAACGAAUAGCCAGAACCACCUGAGCGAGAAAUACCCCAAUGACUACUAUCGAAUAGCCUAACGGAGACCAAUAGCACCUGGAAACACCGACUACGCCCUUUGGUACGUUUACGGCAACCGCAACCUGGAUUCAACCAAAGUCAAAGUUAGUCAUAACCACCCUACAACCAAAAACGGUACUACGAACCAGAACACUGACUAAGCUAGAGUCUCUUCAAACUAAGAAACUCCUUUCCUUCCUCGCUCCAGUAUCUCGUCUCAGUGUGGGACUAGGAACCCACCUCACUGUUCAACCCUAGAAAUGACUUGGUUUAAACAUAACGAUUGCUUUCAAACCCUCCUCCCUGAUAGCAUCACUACCGGCUCUCUCUGUUUCUCCUUUACCUUCGUCUAUAACGAUUUUACCUCAAACUGAACUUUCCUUGCCGACAUUAUACGUCUUCACCUUCGGGAAACUAAGACCGACUGAACUUUUUCCAGAGUCAAAGAUUCCGCGCACGUUAACACCAAAAUCGACUUCUUCCUUUACGACUGGUCUCACUACGGGCUCGUGACGCUUAUCAGAACUCAAAUUGACCUCAAUUUCUUCCUGAUUCUCCAGUGUAACAGCAACUCGAAUCACUAGAACUGUUACUUCACGAUCAGUUUGAACAACCACCUCUGGAACACCUUUGACAACAACGUGUACUACAUUAUCCAGCCAACUACUAUGUUACGCGCGCAGUCGGCCCGGAACGAGUCUAUACCCUUCUAUAGGAACCGAAGCUCUUGACACUCAAGAUGUAAUUUUCUACCGGAGUCAACCAGCCUUACGUUAAACUUCUACACGACUAAUCAAAAGGACUACGACAAGGUACACCUUAUUUCUACCGUAGAAUGCCCCCCUUCUAAUAAAAUUUAGGACUACUAACAAUACAGAACGUUCUCCCGCUACUCCACUAUCAUUAACGUCUCCUACUACUAUGUAUAUGGGGUCGUGGCAAUGGGUUCCAAUUUCUUCGACAAAUGUAUCUGUAACAAGCGGUACUUUCUUUGAGGGUCUUCUAAGAAGAAACACCUUACGCUGCCCUAUAUCUACUAUACUAACACCAUUCGGGAAAGAAGUUCGGGGAUUAAUGGAAAAAAGACAUUUGAACACGUCCAAUCCUCUCCGAUGGGCGGAUUUCUAAAACAACCAGGUUUCAGAGGACUUUCUUAUAAUAAAACACCAACCGCUGCACUAUACCUCCUAUACUAUUACCAUGACCUACGAAAGGAUCGAGGUCCCAGUCUCAACACCUACAAGUUACUACAGGGACUCUAUCUAUCUCUUUCUUUCGAUUAACUUCCUCCAGACCUGAAAUCAGCAGAACUUUUAUAAUGUAACCAAGUAGCUCUUCCUUUACGACAAUAAGCGGCAGUGAACCUCUCGGAGGGAAAUCUCAGCAAACUAAGAUAUAACUAAAACCGUCUACUUAGACAUCUUCUAAGUCGUUAGGUUCGACUAAGCUCCAGAGAACGUUGCAAUGACAACUAGUCUCUAUAAGUCCGUUUUGCCGAAGGUAUGUUCCUUCGCUAACCAAGUCUACCAAAGGCUUCUUCGAAUAGUCUUCCAAGAACCUACCCUCUCUACGUUGUUCGUAGACUAUUUAGACAAUAUUAGUCACUCUAUAACCUAGGAUCCUGAUUUUUAAACAAUAUGUACAGUUUUUAUUCACUGAUACAAGAAAGUUUACUUGAGCACUCGUACCGUAACCGUUACCAGCGUCUUCUAGCGGUUUAUUUAAUACACAACCUCCUCGAGAAACGACUUGUCCCCUUACUUGACGUUUAUGCUGUUAGACUGGACAUGGAAGCUCUUCUGCUCCUCGAUUUGAAGAAGCUCCAGUACGAUGCUCGAUCCGUCUCCUUUCUCCAACAGUAGCCCAUGGCAGAACUCCUGCGGCUCGCACGGUAUUAGUUAGGUGGUCUGUUUCAAAGUUCCUCUUCCACCAGUGGGUUCCUACAAAAACAGCGAUAUCGACUCUUUCUUACUUUAUAGUAGUCUGUUUUAUAAUGUUAAUUUUAUGUGCGGAGCGACUAUUGAGCCUACUUUGGCUGUCAUUGUCGCCUGCCGACAACGUACCGCACGGCGGGGUAGGCUUUCUACUUGUUCCCGACUCACACCUCCAUCGUUUCGUCCUUCAUAUAUGACCCCGUUUAGAUCUCAGAUCUACGUGGUUCGGUGGAAACGCAUAUCUAAGUCAAAUAUCAUAUAAGGACACACUCUUUGAAACCCUCGUAGUAAAGGUGUCAGGGUCCAUUUCCGGUGUAUCUCUACUUGUAAGUACACCGUACACCCUAGACCUCAAAAAUCCCCGACAUCAAAUUAAACAACAUGAGACCCAUAUCUGAAGUCACAAGCAAUUUGCCUGGUUAACAUAUGGUUCACAUGUAAACUCUUUUUUUUGUACAAGAUAACAGUGUUUAAUUGUUGAGGGUACAGGAACAAGUACGUACGUACUUAUCUCCUUCGACGGCAAUGUGUUACUUUUC
rnacentral:rRNA from 1 species